AGAAGGAACAACCCCAGUGUCAGGGGCCAGCUCUGCAGCCCUGGAGUCAGCUCCCGCAGUAACUCUGGAGCUCUCCGUCUGCAGGGCCUGGAGGCUCCGGGGCGGG
rnacentral:pre_miRNA from 1 species